rnacentral:sRNA from 1 species
GAUGUAAUUGGGUUCCUGUAGCAAAUGGGGUAAGGGCUCUGCGUGUCUUAACACAUCAUUGCCACCAGAAGGCCCAUUUACAACUUGCUUAGAUUUUGGUGGGAAGAAGAGGAAGGCUGACAUCCGAAGUACAUUAUAGAUGCUGAGUUGAGCAUUAACUUCUGUAGCUGGGCUCUGAGGGACAACCAAGACAGGUCUGCUUCAACACAUCAGGACCAUGUUCUUGAACUGGAUGGACCCUGGAGCAUCUCAGCGUGGCAUCACAGUGCUGCUCAUGGAAAACAUCAACUGGCAGACCCACUGAGACAUUUUCAGAACAUAAACAUUGUUUUUCUUAUUUCCAUUGUUUACCCAUUGUAGAAAAUGUAAGAAAACAUGAAAAGGGUGAAAAUCUAACUUAAACUCCCUUAUACAGGUAAU